AGAUCAAACAUAAUUUUGUCUUGAGUAGAUGUGAUGGCCUAUAUAUCAUGUUCAAUAGGAUUAAGCUGAGAACU